UGGGGAAUAUUGCGCAAUGGGGGGAACCCUGACGCAGCCAUGCCGCGUGAAUGAAGAAGGCCUUAGGGUUGUAAAGUUCUUUCGGUAUUGAGGAAGGUUGAUGUGUUAAUAGCACAUCAAAUUGACGUUAAAUACAGAAGAAGCACCGGCUAACUCCGUGCCAGCAGCCGCGGUAAUACGGAGGGUGCGAGCGUUAAUCGGAAUAACUGGGCGUAAAGGGCACGCAGGCGGUUAUUUAAGUGAGAUGUGAAAGCCCCGGGCUUAACCUGGGAAUUGCAUUUCAGACUGGGUAACUAGAGUACUUUAGGGAGGGGUAGAAUUCCACGUGUAGCGGUGAAAUGCGUAGAGAUGUGGAGGAAUACCGAAGGCGAAGGCAGCCCCUUGGGAAUGUACUGACGCUCAUGUGCGAAAGCGUGGGGAGCAAACAGGAUUAGAUACCCUGGUAGUCCACGCUGUAAACGCUGUCGAUUUGGGGGUUGGGGUUUAACUCUGGCGCCCGUAGCUAACGUGAUAAAUCGACCGCCUGGGGAGUACGGCCGCAAGGUUA
rnacentral:rRNA from 1 species